GAACCGUCCAAACGUUAUUCGGAAUCAUUGGGCUUAAAGGGUGCGUAGGCGGUGCGGUCAGUUGGGUGUGAAAUCCCUCGGCUCAACCGAGGAACUGCGCCCAAUACUGCCGCGCUCGAGGGAGACAGAGGUAAGCGGAACUGAUGGUGGAGCGGUGAAAUGCGUUGAUAUCAUCAGGAACACCAGUGGCGAAGGCGGCUUACUGGGUCUCUUCUGACGCUGAGGCACGAAAGCUAGGGGGGGAGCGAACGGGAUUAGAUACCCCGGUAGUCCUAGCUGUAAACGAUGAGCACUUGAUCGGAGGCUCCCUCCAUAGGUUUUCCGGUCGUAGCGAAAGUGUUAAGUGCUCCGCCUGGGAGUAUGGUCGCAAGGCUG
rnacentral:rRNA from 1 species